rnacentral:rRNA from 1 species
UAGGGAAUCUUCGGCAAUGGACGAAAGUCUGACCGAGCAACGCCGCGUGAGUGAAGAAGGUUUUCGGAUCGUAAAACUCUGUUGUUAGAGAAGAACAAGGACGUUAGUAACUGAACGUCCCCUGACGGUAUCUAACCAGAAAGCCACGGCUAACUACGUGCCAGCAGCCGCGGUAAUACGUAGGUGGCAAGCGUUGUCCGGAUUUAUUGGGCGUAAAGCGAGCGCAGGCGGUUUCUUAAGUCUGAUGUGAAAGCCCCCGGCUCAACCGGGGAGGGUCAUUGGAAACUGGGAGACAUGAGUGCAGAAGAGGAGAGUGGAAGUCCAUGUGUAGCGGUGAAAUGCGUAGAUAUAUGGAGGAACACCAGUGGCGAAGGCGGCUCUCUGGUCUGUAACUGACGCUGAGGCUCGAAAGCGUGGGGAGCAAACAGG